rnacentral:rRNA from 1 species
UGGGGAAUUUUGGACAAUGGGCGCAAGCCUGAUCCAGCCAUGCCGCGUGUCUGAAGAAGGCCUUCGGGUUGUAAAGGACUUUUGUCAGGGAAGAAAAGGCUGUUGCUAAUACCGACAGCUGAUGACGGUACCUAAAGAAUAAGCACCGGCUAACUACGUGCCAGCAGCCGCGGUAAUACGUAGGGUGCGAGCGUUAAUCGGAAUUACUGGGCGUAAAGCGAGCGCAGACGGUUACUUAAGCAGGAUGUGAAAUCCCCGGGCUCAACCUGGGAACUGCGUUCUGAACUGGGUGACUAGAGUGUGUCAGAGGGAGGUAGAAUUCCACGUGUAGCAGUGAAAUGCGUAGAGAUGUGGAGGAAUACCGAUGGCGAAGGCAGCCUCCUGGGAUAACACUGACGUUCAUGCUCGAAAGCGUGGGUAGCAAACAGGAUUAGAUACCCUGGUAGUCCACGCCUUAAACGAUGUCAAUUAGCUGUUGGGCAACUUGAUUGCUUAGUAGCGUAGCUAACGCGUGAAAUUGACCGCCUGGGGAGUACGGUCGCAAGAUUA